CCGUUUCGAUCUGCUGGGGACAAAUAUAAUGAAUAUGAGUAUCAAUACCGCCGGCCGUUACGAUCUUCCCUUCCCCCGCUAUCACUUCCGUCCCGGCUCCGACGAUCAUGCCGGGAUGAACGCCGUCCAUGACAUCGGGAUUUCCCGCCUUGCCGAUAGCUGUAAUGAUCCCGUCUUUAAUCCCGAUAUCGGCUUUUACGAUCCCCCAGUGAUCGAUGAUAACGGCAUUGGUUAUCAGCGUAUCGAGGACGCCUUCGUCCCGGGUAUGCCGGCUCGAUUGUCCCAUACCAUCGCGA
rnacentral:sRNA from 1 species